UGUCUUUGUGUGCAUGAGUGGGUUUGUGGGAGGUGAAGAGCAGAGGGAGAAAAAGAGAGAGAAGAGGAGGGUGAGAGAGAGGAACAGAAGACCUGGCUGUACUCCUGAAUAACACUGACUUCUUCUAGGAAAGCACUCUGAAGCCAAGUUGAAACAUUAUACUCUCAGGCAGUAGUAGAGAUCAACCUCUUAAAACCAAAUCCAUGGGCCCAGGAGUAUGGAAAAGAGUUCAAUAAAAUGGCCUUAACUGGUAUAAGAAGUUACAAUUGUUAAAAGGAGAUUCAGCUGUGAUAGCAAAAGAGAAAGAAAAUGAAAAAGUUGUCCUGGCUCAUCUCUGGAAAGACAUGAUAUUUCAUAACCUCAAGGUGUUUGCUUCUGACCUAUAACUUCAAUUAUAGACCAGGUUAUCCAAAAGUUCUCCUUAUUAACAAGAAUUAUCAGUCUGAUACGUGGUAAGUAAGUGGUUUCUAGGUAUUUAAUAUGCCUUUUCCUGAUAACUAAUUUGCCAGAUAGAUUUUCCAAAAAUGGUUGCAACAAUAUCUCCCAUCCCUGAUUCUCUUCUUAAAUAUGACUUUGACAACUUUUCUAUCAAGAGGUAGGGUCUAUAUCCCCUUCCCUUGAAACUAAGAGGGUCUGUGGUUAAGGCAGAACUGACACUCAGUGACUUUUGAGCUAAGUCAUAAAAGAUGAUACAACUUAUGGCUGGUUCUGACUCAAUCUUGGAACCCAGCCAUCAUGUUGUGAAGAAUCUCAGGACAUUUACAGAGGCUUCAUAGGUUUCUGGCAGACAGCUCCAGCUUACAACAGCAUCAACCAACAGACUUGUGAGUGAAGAUGGCUCCUGAAGGUAUCAGCCCCCCGCUGUCCAGUCACCUCCCAGCUUUUGAGUCUUUCCAGCCGAGACCCCAGACACCAAGGCACAGAGACAAACGUCUGCAUUGUAACCUGUCCAAAAUUCUGACCCACAGAGUUCUUGGCAUAAUAUAAUGAUUGUUUUAUGUCACUAAAGUUUGGAGUGGCUUGUCACAUUGCAAUAAAAAAUUGCAACAACGAAGGAGGUUGAUUAUCUUUUCAUGCUUAUUGAUCAUUUGCAUUUCUUCUGUGUACUGUCUAUUCACAAAUUUUGCCUGUUUGACUCUUGGGUUAUUUGUCUUGCUCAUAUUUUCUGCAUAUUAAUCCUACUUUUGUUACCUAUAUUGCAAAUGUAUUCAACCAGUUGCUUGCUAGGUAAUAGAGAAAUUUGAGUUUUAUGUAUCCGUUCAUUGUUUUCAUUUUUUAGUCUUGGGGUUUUGUAUCUUUUUUUUUUUUUUUUUUUUUUUUUUUGAGACGACGGAGUCUCUCUCUGUCACCCAGGCUGGAGUGCAGUGGCGUGAUCUCCGCUCACUGCAAGCUCUGCCUCCCGGGUUCAUGCUGUUUUCCUGCCUCAGCCUCCCAAAUAGCUGGGACCACAGGCGCCCGCCACCAUGCCCAGCUAAUUUUUUUUUUUUUUGUAUUUUUUAGUAGAGACGGGGUUUCACUGUGUUAGCCAGGAUGGUCUCGAUCUCCUGACCUCGUGAUCCGCCAGCCUCGGCCUCCCGAAGUGCUGGGAUUACAGGCGUGAGCCACUGUGCCCGGCCGGUUUUGUGUCUUUUUUAGAAAAAGGCUUUCCCAUUUGAAGAAUAUAAAAAUAUCCUAUACUUUCUUCUAGCACUUUUAUACCUUUUCUUAUUCAUCAUAAGAUCAGUCUCUGACUCUAUCUUGAAUUUAUUAUUUUACAUGGUAUGGGACAGUGAAAAUCUAACUCUUUUUAGAUGGAUAGUCAGUUGUCUCUGUACCAUUUAUUUAAAUCAUCCAUUCUUUUUCCAUUGAUUUGAAAUGCCUCCUUUAUGAACUAAAUUCUUAAAUAAAUAUAUGUCUAUUUCUAGACUGUCUAUUCUGAACCAUUAAACUGUUUGAUCAUUACUACAAAAGUGCCAUUUUAUUUUAAUUUAUAUAGCUUUUUGAUAUGUUCUGAUAUCCAGUAGAACGCAUAGUAUAGUCUAAUUUUUCUUCCCCCAGAAAUAUCUUUGCAGAUUUUAAGAAUUUCGUCUUUCAGAUAAAUUUCAGAAUAAACUCGCCAAGUGCCUUGCUUGGCACUUAAGUCACAGCCUUGCUUUGACUUAAUAAAUUAAUGUGUAGCAAACUGACAUAUUUAUUAUGUCUUCUUGUAUAUUAACAUGGUAUAUUUCCCCAU
rnacentral:lncRNA from 10 species